AAACCAGAGGUCACAGCGAUGGGUGACCUUACUGACAGUGAGGUCAGUUCCAAUCCUAAUUUUGUACGGGACAUUGUGACAACGAAGUCCUAAAAAUAAUUGCGAAACUAGUGAAAAAGAAAAAAUCACAUAAAAGAGUUGAUAAUUAAAUCAAGAUUUCGAAAAAAAUAUUGAAUUAUUGGCAAACCGAAUCAGACUGACGAGGGCUAAAUUGAUCAAUUCACCCCUAGAGGUGACUCAUGAUCUAACUGUCCAAUAAAAUGUAAGAAAUUAAAAUUUUGAAAUAUAUAUUUAAAUUAAAAAAGUAUUAAGAAAACAAAGAAAAAAAAA
rnacentral:misc_RNA from 1 species